GACGAACGCUGGCGGCGUGCUUAACACAUGCAAGUCGAACGGAAAGGCCCUGCUUUUGUGGGGUGCUCGAGUGGCGAACGGGUGGGUAACACGUGAGUAACCUGCCCUUGACUUUGGGAUAACUUCAGGAAACUGGGGCUAAUACCGGAUAGGAGCUCCUGCUGCAUGGUGGGGGUUGGAAAGUUUCGGCGGUUGGGGAUGGACUCGCGGCUUAUCAGCUUGUUGGUGGGGUAGUGGCUUACCAAGGCUUUGACGGGUAGCCGGCCUGAGCGGGUGACCGGCCACAUUGGGACUGAGAUACGGCCCAGACUCCUACGGGAGGCAGCAGUGGGGAAUAUUGCACAAUGGGCGGAAGCCUGAUGCAGCAACGCCGCGUGCGGGAUGACGGCCGUCGGGUUGUAAACCGCUUUCGCCUGUGACGAAGCGUGAGUGACGGUAAUGGGUAAAGAAGCACCGGCUAACUACGUG
rnacentral:rRNA from 1 species